AUUGAACGCUGGCGGCAUGCCUUACACAUGCAAGUCGAACGGUAACAGGUCUUCGGAUGCUGACGAGUGGCGCACGGGUGAGUAAUACAUCGGAACGUGCCCGAUCGUGGGGGAUAACGAAGCGAAAGCUUUGCUAAUACCGCAUAAGAUCUACGGAUGAAAGCAGGGGACCGCAAGGCCUUGCGCGAACGGAGCGGCCGAUGGCAGAUUAGGUAGUUGGUGGGAUAAAAGCUUACCAAGCCGACGAUCUGUAGCUGGUCUGAGAGGACGACCAGCCACACUGGGACUGAGACACGGCCCAGACUCCUACGGGAGGCAGCAGUGGGGAAUUUUGGACAAAGGGCGAAAGCCUGAUCCAGCCAUGCCGCGUGCAGGAUGAAGGCCUUCGGGUUGUAAACUGCUUUUGUACGGAACGAAAAGACUCUGGUUAAUACCUGGGGUCCAUGACGGUACCGUAAGAAUAAGCACCGGCUAACUACGUG
rnacentral:rRNA from 1 species